UACGAAGGGGCUAGCGUUGCUCGGAAUCACUGGGCGUAAAGCGCACGUAGGCGGAUUGUUAAGUCAGGGGUGAAAUCCUGGAGCUCAACUCCAGAACUGCCUUUGAUACUGAGGAUCUUGAGUUCGGGAGAGGUGAGUGGAACUGCGAGUGUAGAGGUGAAAUUCGUAGAUAUUCGCAAGAACACCAGUGGCGAAGGCGGCUCACUGGCCCGAUACUGACGCUGAGGCACGAAAGCGUGGGGAGCAA
rnacentral:rRNA from 1 species